rnacentral:lncRNA from 1 species
UCCGCCGUCGCCGGAGUCGCCUCGUCCCGGAUCCGGCCGGGCUGUACCAGAUCCACCAGCCCGCCGAUCCAAACGGCCGCCUCGUCCCACACCACUCCGUCCCGGAUCCCGCCGUCCCGUUGACUUUUUCCGAGAGGGGUAUAUUUUCUAAGUCUCGAAAUUGUUGCAUUAUGUUGCCCUGUUCAUCAUGCCAUAACUUCGUGCUUGGUGCUCCGAUUCAUGCAUAUAAUAUAUUGAAAUGUUCAUUGUGAGAUGCUCUUCAUUUUGUUCCACUGUUCCAUGCUUGUUUGAGUCCAUCUUGAUGCCCUAAUCAUCGUUGCAAGACUGCUAUGUGAUGUUGUCUGCUGUAGUUUAACAGAUCUUGCUCAUUUAUCAUUUUUGUAUCUUUUUGUGUAAUUUUCUUUUGAGCAUGAUGUCUACAUGUGUUAUGGGAUACGAUAUUCCAUAUUUGCUGUGGUGCAAUCUACUCUUCAUGAUAUACCAUGUAUUGAUUGUUACAAGCUUGCAAAGUAGCCUUCGUGAUGUUGCUGAUUUCUGUGACUUAGUCAUUUCUGCUAAGUCUGUAGCUGUAACAUUGUGAUGCCAUGUUAACCUGCUGUCACCAUGAGUUCUAUGCAUAAUCUGGAGAUGUUCACUAAUGAUGUUUUGUUCACAUGUUAUGCGCUAUCCAUCCAUGCCCUUUUUUUGCAUUUAUAGCCUGCUGUAGCUUGUUGUUACCUUGCUCUCAAUUUGCUAAAUAAUGUUGUUGUCAGCCUGUUAACAUGAAGUUCAGUUUUGACAUGUGUUUUGCUAGUGAUACAUGCAUCCUAUGAACUUGAUCUUGCCAUUCUUAGGUUCAUAAUUAUGCCAUCUUACUGUUGGAUGCUUUCACAUGCCAUGAAAUGUUUUGUGAUGAGUGAUUUGAGCUCGCAAAGAUGUCUUCAUAAUUCUGUUUAUGCCAUGCUCAGUUUUGAAACUUGCUAUGUUUACAUGGGUUCCAUCAUAUCUUCUGUGCCAUUUUGGCUCGUGAUCAGUAAGGGACUUUUGUUCUAUGCAAUUAGUAUAUUCAUGCCAUGCCUUUGGUUGCUAUGAUCUGUUCCUGUAGCCUGUUGUUUGCUAGGUCUAAACUUAGCAACCUGAUGUUAUUUCUGCCAUGCCCAGAGUUUUUCUGCUAAGUCUGUGAACUGUUAUUAUUCGCAAUCUUGCCAUGUCCUUUUGAGCAUGUUAUAGUGUUUUCUGGAGAUAGAUCAUUGUUCAUGUUUUCUCAUGCUUUACCGGUACAUCAUGUCCAUGCCUUUUGUUUUCAUGUUGAGGUGCUGUAACAUAUUGUUUUGAUGCUUGCAAGAUACCUAGUUGCUGUUUUGGACAGAUUGUUGCUAUAUCUUGUUUGGUGUGUAUGUGUUGAACCGUUGCUCCGUUUUGAGUGUGCUCUAUAUGAAACUUGGUUAGAAUUGCAUGUAGUAUCAUAUUAUCAUGUUGCAUCCAUGUUUUGAGUGUGUUUGCUUGAUGUUUGAAUGCAUUUUGCAUCAAUGCCAUGUUUAAUUUGUUUUGCUCAUAUCUUCUAGGCCGUAGCUCAGAACUAAAUGAACUUUAUAUGUAACUUGACUAGAAUUUCGUGUAGAUCAUCUUGGUGCAUUUUAACUUGCUGUUUAACAACUUGAACAUAAGGUUUAUUCAGAUCUGGAUCAAUUUCGAAAUUUGCAUAUGGGGACUUACCGGAAUUGUCAUAUGUUGUUUCCGGCCUCAUUUAAACUUGCUUUGAUGUGUUGCUCUUGUAUGCAUCAUCUCUUGCCAUGAGUAGAUUCAUGUAGCUUAGUCAUGCAUCCGGCUUGGUUGAGCAUCAUGCCUUGUUCAUGUGUGGUGUGUUUACCAUGUUGUGUGCUUCUUCUCGAUAGUUCCCGUUUCGUUGCGAUCGUGAGGAUUCGUUCGUCUACGCUUGGUUCGUCUUCGUGGCUUCAUCUUCUUCAUGGACUCGUUCUUCUUGGUAGAGGGAUUUCAGGCAAGAUGACCGUAACCUUGGAUCUCAUUACUAUCAUUGCUAUGCUAGUUGCUUCGUUCUAUCGCUAUGCUGCGCUACCUAUCACUUGCUCUUCAAGCCUCCCAAAUUGCCAUGUCAGCCUCUAACCUUUUUCACCCUUCCUAGCAAACCGUUGUUUGGCUCUUUUACCGCUUUGCUCAGCCCCUCUUAUAGCGUUGCUAGUUGCAGGUGAAGAUGAAGAUUGCUCCAUGUUGGAUUAUGUUUAUGUUGGGACAUCACAAUAUCUCUUAUAUAAUUAAUGCAACUAUAUACUUGGUAAAGGGUGGAAGGCUCGGCCUUAUGCCUGGUGUUUUGUUCCACUCUUGCCGCCCUAGUUUCUGUCAUACCGGUGUUAUGUUCCUCGAUUUUGCGUUCCUAACGUGGUUGGGUGUUAUGGGGACCCCUUAACAGUUCGCUUUGAAUAAAACUCCUCCAGCAAGGCCCAACCUUGGUUUUACCAUUUGCCUACCUAAGACUUUUUCCCUUGGGAGUCGCGCUCCCGAGGGUCAUCUUUAUUUUACCCCCCCCCCCCGGGCCAGUGCUCCUCUGAGUGUUGGUCCAAACUAGAGCCCUUUGCAGCGCCACCUUGGGGAAACUUGAGGCCUAGUUUUACUUGUACGGAUUGCUCAUCCGGUGUGCCCUGAGAACGAGAUAUGUGUAGCUCCUAUCAGGAUUUGUCGGCACAUUCGGGCGGCUUUGCUGGUCUUGUUUUACCAUUGUCGAAAUGUCUUGUAAACCGGGAUUUCGAGACUGAUCGGGUCUUCCCGGGAGAAGGAAUAUCCUUCGUUGACCGUGAGAGCUUAUAAUGGGCUAAGUUGGGACACCCCUGCAGGGUAUAAACUUUCAAGAGCCAUGCCCGCGGUUAUGUGGCAGAUGGGAAUUUGUUAAUGUCCGGUUGUAGAGAACUUGACACUUGACUUAACUAAAACGCAUCAACCGCGUGUGUAGCCGUGAUGGUCUCUUUUCGGCGGAGUCCGGGAAGUGAACAUGGUUUCUGGGUUAUGUUUGACGUAAGUAGGAGUUCAGGAUCACUUUUGAUCAUUGCUAGCUUCACGACCAUUCCGUUGCUCCUCUUCUCGCUCUUAUUUGCGUAUGUUAGCUCCCAUACUUGCUUAGUCGCUGCUGCAACCUCACCACUUUACCCUUUCCUUACCCAUUAAGCUUUGCUAGUCUUGAUACCCAUGGUAAUGGGAUUGCUGAGUCCUCGUGGCUCACAGAUUACUACAACACCAGUUGCAGGUACAGGUUUUACGAUGAUCAUGACGCGAGAGCGAUGUUUCUUGUUUUGGAGUUUUUCUUCUGCUUCUUCUUCGAUCAGAGGAUAGGUUCCAGGUCGGCAGCCUGGGCUAGCAGGGUGGAUGUCGUUUGAGCUUCUGUUUAUGUUUCAUCCGUAGUCGGAUGUUGUUCUCAUGUAUAUUGAUGUAUUCUUGCAGCAUUUGUAUGCCUUGUAUGUAUCCCCAUCUUUUAUGUAAUGUUGAUGUAACGAUAUCCACCUUGCAAAAGCGUCUUCAAGAUGCGCUUCUAUCCUUGGUGGGACCUUCGAGUUCCUUUAGGAUAGGGUCGCAUCUUGGGCGUGACAUCCACCCUUGCCGCUGUUUUAUCUACUACAGGCUGAAACUCAGCGAUUUGAAGGGCUCUUGCUGAGAUUGGCAUACCUAAAUAUUUUAAGGGGAUAGACCCCAGCUCGCAGUUCAUCAUAUGCGCCGCCCUAAGUUGGGAUUCCAAGUUCCCACCUGUGACAAAGGCUUCGCUCUUGUCAAAAUUAAUUUUGAGGCCCGACAUCCUCGAAGCACACAAGCAGGAACUUUAGGUUAAUAAUCUCCCUCUCAGAGUUUUUAAUAAAGAU